CAUGUUAAGUUGAUUGGUAAAUAAAUCUGUGUGUCAGAACCCCCCCCUGGAUGCUCCGGUGUUCAGCAGCAGCCUGUGGGGCCCCUCUGCAGACGACCUGGACCAGGUGGUGGAGCACUGCCUUCUGCCUGAGCUCAACAUCGGAGACUGGCUGACCUUCUCCCAGGCAGGGGCCUACACCAUGGGACAGCCCCUCCGCACCACCCCGGACUCACCAGCGCCCCCUGUGUACUACGUCAUCUCCUCCAGGGACUGGUAUGAGAUGCAGGACACUGGAGUCACCCAUGAGGCUACACUGAAGAACUUCUCUUUGGUCCCUUGUUUCCACAAUUCCUGCCACACAGAGGCCACUCUCUCUGUCCCCGCGUAGCAAUCAUCAGACUAGGAAUUCUUUACUUUCCUGCUUUCUGCUGCUAGCUUCCUCUGGUCCACAUUCCACGGGGUUGAAUGGAGCCGACUCAGCAGAUAUAGCAUUUUACAAACCCCAAUACAGAAUAAACUAAGCGAUUAAACCCUAAGUAGAUAUUUUAAGUGUGCAACAAAAUGGAUGAGUCCUAAAAGACAAAUGCAUUCUUCCCUUUGUUUUGCGCCGUUUACACACACACAGUAGACGUAUAAUGAUUCUAAAUGAUCAUAUUUAACAAAUCCUCUUAUCUAUGUCUUCAUUGCUUUUGCCAGUGUCGUAAAGUACAAUAUGUAUAACUGACUGAAGCUGUGUAUUUAAAUGAAAACACAGUUCUGAGAUAUUGUAGUGUGCUUUGCUACAGGAUGUGUAUUUAUGAAUUUAAUUGGUUGUGUAGUUUGAGUUUGAUCAGAGCUUGAUUACAUGUUUUCCCUACUCAGUGUUUUGAAGCUUGCAAAUGAAAGCGUGUUCACUCAUCUGUGAACAAAGCCAGUGUCAUCAUGAAGUCCUCUCGUGUAAUAAUGAUCAGUGCAGUCUGUUCUGGUUGAGAAACUGAACUAGUGUUUUUCUAAAACGCUAAGUAGCUUACUCCCUGACCAGUAAAAGAGCAGCAGGUAACUGUUAUACUUCGACAUAAUAAAACCGGUUUAUUAUUCAGCACGCGCUGCAGAUGGAACAAAGGAAGUGCUGAUGGAUAAAGAAUCAGCUAACAUGAAAUAACAAAGCAUUUCUAAUGCUAGAAAAAUGUAAUGCUAUUUAUCAAUAUUUCUUCAAGAUUUAGGACUGCUUUUAAAAUAAUAUGAUUUCCUUAUCUGUGUUUAAGGCAUGAUGAACUAUCUGGCAAUAAACACCUCAGUCACCUCAAUGACUGGACUGUGAA